rnacentral:rRNA from 1 species
ACGAACGCUGGCGGCGUGCUUCACACCUGCCAGUCGAACGGAAAGGCCCUGCUUGCAGGGUACUCGAGUGGCGAACGGGUGAGUAACACGUGGGUGAUCUGCCCUGCACUUCGGGAUAAGCCUGGGAAACUGGGUCUAAUACCGGAUAGGAGCCAUUUUUAGUGUGAUGGUUGGAAAGUUUUUUCGGUGUAGGAUGAGCUCGCGGCCUAUCAGCUUGUUGGUGGGGUAAUGGCCUACCAAGGCGGCGACGGGUAGCCGGCCUGAGAGGGUGGACGGCCACAUUGGGACUGAGAUACGGCCCAGACUCCUACGGGAGGCAGCAGUGGGGAAUAUUGCACAAUGGGCGCAAGCCUGAUGCAGCGACGCCGCGUGGGGGAUGACGGCCUUCGGGUUGUAAACUCCUUUCGCUAGGGACGAAGCUUUUUGUGACGGUACCUAGAUAAGAAGCACCGGCUAACUACGUG